rnacentral:misc_RNA from 1 species
GAUGAAGAACGCAGCGAAAUGCGAUAAGUAAUGUGAAUUGCAGAAUUCAGUGAAUCAUCGAAUCUUUGAACGCACAUUGCGCUCCCUGGUAUUCCGGGGAGCAUGCCUGUUCGAGCGUCAUUGCUGCCCUCAAGCACGGCUUGUGUGUUGGGCCUCCGUCCUCCUCCCGGGGGACGGGCCCGAAAGGCAGCGGCGGCACCGCGUCCGGUCCUCGAGCGUAUGGGGCUUCGUCACCCGCUCUUGUAGGCCCGGCCGGCGCUUGCCGACACAUCAAUCUUUUUUCCAGGUUGACCUCGGAUCAGGUAGGGAUACCCGCUGAACUUAAGCAUAUCAAUAAGCGGAGGA